rnacentral:rRNA from 1 species
UACGUAGGGGCAAGCGUUGUCCGGAUUUAUUGGGCGUAAAGAGCGUGUAGGCGGUUUGGUAGGUCCGUUGUGAAAACGUCGAGGCUCAACCUCGAGACGCCGAUGGAAACCAUCAGACUAGAGUCCGGAAGAGGAGAGUGGAAUUCCGUGGUGUAGCGGUGAAAUGCGCAGAUAUCAGGAGGAACACCGGUGGCGAAGGCGGUUCUCUGGGCCUGUUCUGACGCUGAGGUGCGAAAGCGUGGGGAG